AGCAGCACGGGUCCCGGUCCCGCCCCGAACCCCCUUACCUGGCGCAGAGGCCGGUCAGUGCGGUGCGGUCAGGCCCCGUGGGCUGGGACCUAAGCCCUUGACCCUAAGGCGAUCGGGGCUCCCCGCGCGGCCCCUCCGGGGGACGGGAUUAACGCCUAAGCCCCAAGCCAGUCUGCAAGUGCUUGGUACAUACACAGAUGGUAUUUAUUUGCUGUUUGUCUUAAAUUGCAUUCUUAUGCAUCAUAGAGAGUGCGAUAAGGAGAAGAAAAAAUAUUUUCUACAGGACCAUCCAAACAUCUAUUAUGAGAAAUACCACUGCGAUGAGUCUUCACAUACAAGUGUCUAUGUGGACACAUAUUUUCAUUUCUUGGGGAUAUGCCUCAGAGUGGACUUGCUGGGACUUAUGGACGCUCUGUGUUCAGCAUUUUGAGGCAUUGCCCGGCCGUUUUCUAAAGCAGGUGCACCAUUUGACAGUCCCACCAGCAGCAUGAGAGAGUUCCAGUGUCUCCACAUCCUCGUCAACACUCACUACCUGACUUUUUGGGUCUAGCUCUCCAGGCCAGGAAGCUGAACCAAAUCCACCUCCCUCAGGUGUGCCCGCGGGACCUGUGUGUGUGCAAGUUUCUAUCUUCCAGAAGGUUCCAGUGUCUGCCAUGGCUCUUGGCCUGCCAGGAAGUAUCCUUCUUACUACUUGUGAGGCUGAGGCUUUGUGUGCCAGAGUACAGGUGCCCGGCCAGUAUGGGUCUGAGGGUUGUGUGGGCAUUGGUUCAGCACACAAGCCACAACCCUUGUUCCUUAAAGGUGGGCGUGUUGUGGAAGCACAGGAAAGUUAUUCUCAAAUAUGACACCCAUGUAAGGCCUGGGCUCCACUAUUAAUUGUCUGAUUAUAUCCUGGUGACAAGGAGGACAAAUUUCUACUGCAACAAUGCAAAUUACUACAUUUUUAUUAAAAGUAAAUGUCAGUAAAACUAUUUUUCCUGAAUUCUGAAGUGAGAAAAACACCAUUUAAAGAACGUUUUAAUGUUUGUGAAAGGAUAGUCUCCUAAAGUAGAUUGUUGCAGACACCGGGUAAAAAUAAAAAUUAAAUAAAUUAAAGGUGAGAUAGAUCAAAGAAGAAGGGUUUUGUCUUAUUCCUGCCAGAAACAGAAUAUCAGAAACAACAUGAACAUCCUCCUCCUUGCCUUUUCUUGGGCUGUGCUUUCAGCCUGCAGGUAUAACCGUUCUGGAGAGCAGUGAUGCCCCCAGAACCGCGUUUUUGGCUGGUGCAAAAUGGGGGGCAGUGGUUGUGUCUGGGGCCAAGUUUCUGUCCUGUAUAGCCUAGAGAUGGUUAUGUAGCAGGGGACUGAGCUACUAAGUGAAGGCAUAGAUAGUUAUGUAGAAACAGAGAAGGGUAGAAUCAACUCCAUGCUAGAUUGUAACUGGAGGUACAGGUAUCAGUAUGAACUCAAGGUUUGCUAAGAGGUAUCAGAAAAGAUAUGGCUGUGUGUGUGUGUGUGUGUGUGUGUAUGUGUGUUUGUACAUACUUACUUAUUUCCUAGCUCUGUCUGCUGAGUGUAAAUGGAAUCAUAUUCUGUAAUCUUUUGAGAUUUCUUUCUUCCAUUUAAAAUUAUGUGUUUGAGAUUUGGCCGUGUUGGUGGUGGAAUUCAUUCAUUUCUGUUGCUGUGUGCUAUUCCAUUGCGUGGAUACACCUCACUUUGUCCAUUUUACCGUCCUUUGAUAUGUAAGAUUUCUCCCAGUAUUUGCUAUUAAAAACAGCGUU